GCGGUUAUCGUAUAAAGGCUAUUACCUCGGUUUUCCAAACCGAUGAUGAGGGUUCGACGUCCCUCUAACCGCU
rfam:Klebsiella phage K64-1 DNA, complete genome.